rnacentral:rRNA from 1 species
UACGGAGGAUCCAAGCGUUAUCCGGAAUCAUUGGGUUUAAAGGGUCCGUAGGCGGUUUUAUAAGUCAGUGGUGAAAUCCGGCAGCUUAACUGUCGAACUGCCAUUGAUACUGUAGAACUUGAAUUAUUGUGAAGUAACUAGAAUAUGUAGUGUAGCGGUGAAAUGCUUAGAUAUUACAUGGAAUACCCAUUGCGAAGGCAGGUUACUAACAAUAUAUUGACGCUGAUGGACGAAAGCGUGGGGAGCGAACAGG